UGCUAGUCAUCUCAAAUAUACCAAGCUUGAAUUCCAUUUAAUUUGCAGUGUGCCUAACAUAUUACCUGAUAUUUUACCAUUAGCGGGUUUCUCUCUUGGCUAAAGGACUGUAGAGAAAGGAACAGCUACAUCUGCCUAGAGAAAUCCAUACAGAAGAGGAGAAUGCUUGUGCUGAGGCUUGAAAGAGGAGGAAACGCUGGCUCCAUGAAGCCUUCAUCGACCCUCGAGGAUUGGAAACAAAUCAGUUGAAAAACCGUGCCCUGUCUAUCUCAACUGUUGUUAACAUUGGGUCAAAGUACAGGAAGAAAAUGAAACCUUCUUCAAAUUCUUGCCCUGCUUAGCAAAAUCUCAGUUUGGAGACAGCAUAUUCAGGGCCGAAGUACAAGAACAGCUUCCCACUGUCGCUAGUCUCUGGGUGCCUCAACAUCCCAUGUUUGUUUCUUUAACCUGCUUGUAACCUGUA